AUUGAACGCUGGCGGCAGGCCUAACACAUGCAAGUCGAACGAGUGGCGGACGGGUGAGUAAUGUCUGGGAAACUGCCUGAUGGAGGGGGAUAACUACUGGAAACGGUAGCUAAUCCCGCAUACCAUCGGAUGUGCCCAGAUGGGAUUGGCUAGUGGGUGGGGUAAAGGCUCACCUAGGCGACGAUCCCUAGCUGGUCUGAGAGGAUGACCAGCCACACUGGAACUGAGACACGGUCCAGACUCCUACGGGAGGCAGCAGUGGGGAAGAGUGUCCAAUGGGCGAAAGCCUGAUGCAGCCAUGCAGCGUGUAUGAAGAAGGGCUUCGGGUUGUAAAGUACUUUGAGUGGAGAGGCGUUACCCGCAGAAGAAGCACCGGCUAACUCCGUGCCAGCAGCCGCGGUAAUAC
rnacentral:rRNA from 1 species